UUUGUAAUGGGGGGAAAUCGAACCCGGGGCGCCCGCGUGGCAGGCGAGCAUUCUACCACUGAACCAAAAGCAA